rnacentral:rRNA from 1 species
CAAGGAAUUUUCCCCAAUGGGCUCACGCCUGAGGGAGCAACGCCGCGUGCAGGACGACGGCCUUCGGGUUGUAAACUGCUUUUGGGUGGGACGAUGAUGACGGUACCGCCCGAAGAAGCCCCGGCUAACUACGUGCCAGCAGCCGCGGUAAUACGUAGGGUGCAAGCGUUGUCCGGAUUUAUUGGGCGUAAAGAGCUCGUAGGCGGUUAGACACGUCGGCUGUGAAAACUGGGGGCUCAACCCCCAGCC